rnacentral:rRNA from 1 species
CCUACGGGUGGCAGCAGUGAGGAAUAUUGGUCAAUGGACGAGAGUCUGAACCAGCCAAGUAGCGUGAAGGAUGACUGCCCUAUGGGUUGUAAACUUCUUUUAUAUGGGAAUAAAAUGUUCCACGUGUGGGAUUUUGUAUGUACCAUAUGAAUAAGGAUCGGCUAACUCCGUUCCAGCAGCCGCGGUAAUACGGAGGAUCCGAGCGUUAUCCGGAUUUAUUGGGUUUAAAGGGAGCGUAGGUGGAUUGUUAAGUCAGUUGUGAAAGUUUGCGGCUCAACCGUAGAAUUGCAGUUGAAACUGGCAGUCUUGAGUACAGUAGAGGUGGGCGGAAUUCGUGGUGUAGCGGUGAAAUGCUUAGAGAUCACGAAGAACUCCGAUUGCGAAGGCAGUUCACUGGACUGCAACUGACACUGAGGCUCGAAAGUGUGGGUAUCAAACAGGAUUAGAUACCCGGGUAGUC